AUGUCUCCUUCGCUUCGGGCCGCUGAUCCGCGGGAGCCGGCUGGCGGAGCUCGGCUGCCCCCCUUCACAUCCAUGGUGCAGGACUUCGCCGACCGCUUCCAGGCCCUGGCAUGCCACGCGUCGGGCGUUACGGCGCAACAGCGGGCCGAGCUCUUCGUCGGCGGUCUUUCGGACCACAUCCACGUUGACGUGGAGCUUCGGGGACCCCAGGACCUCCAGACGGCCAUGUACUAUGCCCGCGCCUUCGAGUGUCGCGCGCAGGCCUUGCAGCAGGCGGCCCCAGCUCCCGGAGGCCGACAACACGUCCGGCAGCCCCCGGCACCGGCACCGGCACCGGCAUCGGGCCGGCCGCCCCCGGCCACUCCUGGGACUACCACCCCGGCCACGAUGCGGCCCUUCCGUCGGCUCUCUCCGGCCGAGCAACUUGAGCGUCGGCGCUAG
rnacentral:rRNA from 1 species